GUGCUCGCUUCGGAAGCACAUAAACUAAACUUGGAAUGAUAGAGAAUAUUAGCAUGGCCUCUGCGCAAGGGUGACACGAAAGGGGGGCUACUUGAUCUGAAGAAUUUUU